UACGAAGGGGGCUAGCGUUGUUCGGAAUUACUGGGCGUAAAGCGCCCGUAGGCGGCUUUGUAAGUUAGAGGUGAAAGCCCAGGGCUCAACCCUGGAAUUGCCUUUAAGACUGCAUCGCUUGAACAUCGGAGAGGUAAGUGGAAUUCCGAGUGUAGAGGUGAAAUUCGUAGAUAUUCGGAAGAACACCAGUGGCGAAGGCGGCUCACUGGCCCGAUUCUGACGCUGAGGCGCGAAAGCGUGGGGAGCAAACAGG
rnacentral:rRNA from 1 species